rnacentral:rRNA from 1 species
GGUUAAGUGACAAAGCGUAUACGGUGGAUGCCUUGGCAGUUAGAGGCGAUGAAGGACGUGUAAGUCUGCGAAAAGCUGUGGUGAGCUGACAAAACGCAUUUGAGCCACAGAUGUCCGAAUGGGGAAACCCACCUGUUUACAGGUAUCUUAUAGUGAAUACAUAGCUAUAAGAGGCGAACGAGGGGAACUGAAACAUCUAAGUACCCUUAGGAAAAGAAAUCAACCGAGAUUCCCCUAGUAGCGGCGAGCGAACGGGGAUUAGCCCUUAAGCAUUUUAUAAGUUAGUGGAAGCCUCUGGGAAGUGGCGCGAUACCGGGUGAUAGCCCCGUACACGACAACGAAUUAAAUGUGAAAUCGAGUAGGUCGGGACACGUGUUAUCUUGACUGAAUAUGGGGGGACCAUCCUCCAAGGCUAAAUACUCCUAACUGACCGAUAGUGAACCAGUACCGUGAGGGAAAGGCGAAAAGAACCCCUGUGAGGGGAGUGAAAUAGAACCUGAAACCGUAUACGUACAAGCAGUGGGAGCCUCUUUUAUGGGGUGACUGCGUACCUUUUGUAUAAUGGGUCAGCGACUUAUAUUUGGUAGCAAGGUUAAGCAAAUAGCGGAGCCGUAGCGAAAGCGAGUGUUAACUGCGCGUUGAGUUGCCAGGUAUAGACCCGAAACCCGGUGAUCUAGCCAUGAGCAGGUUGAAGGUUGAGUAACAUCAACUGGAGGACCGAACCCACUGACGUUGAAAAGUCAGGGGAUGACUUGUGGCUGGGGGUGAAAGGCCAAUCAAACCGGGAGAUAGCUGGUUCUCCCCGAAAUCUAUUUAGGUAGAGCCUCGGACGAAUUCCAUUGGGGGUAGAGCACUGUUAAGGCUAGGGGGUCAUCCCGACUUACCAACCCUUUGCAAACUCCGAAUACCGAUGAGAACUAUCCGGGAGACACACGGCGGGUGCUAACGUCCGUCGUGGAGAGGGAAACAACCCAGACCGCCAGCUAAGGUCCCUAAAUAUUGCUAAGUGGGAAACGAUGUGGGAAGGCACAGACAGCUAGGAGGUUGGCUUAGAAGCAGCCAUCCUUUAAAGAAAGCGUAAUAGCUCACUAGUCGAGUCGGCCUGCGCGGAAGAUGUAACGGGGCUAAGCAAUAUACCGAAGCUGCGGCAGUACAGUUUACUGUACUGGGUAGGGGAGCGUUGUGUAAGUGGAUGAAGGUGAACCGAGAGGUUUGCUGGACAUAUCACAAGUGCGAAUGCUGACAUGAGUAACGAUAAUGGGGGUGAAAAACCCCCACGCCGGAAGACCAAGGUUUCCUGUCCCAUGCUAAUCAGGGCAGGGUAAGUCGGCCCCUAAGGCGAGGCGGAAACGCGUAGUCGAUGGGAAACGGGUUAAUAUUCCCGUACUUGUAUAAUCAGUGAUGGAGGGACGGAGAAGGCUAAGCAAGCCUGGCGUUGGUAGCCCAGGUGAAAGUGAGUAGGCUGAAGAAUUAGGUAAAUCCGGUUCUUCAAGGCCGAGACACGAGACGAGCUCCCAAGGGAGUGAAGUUGUUGAUGCCAUGCUUCCAGGAAAAGCUUCUAAACGUAUGAUUAUGUGAACCGUACCCCAAACCGACACAGGUGGUCAGGUAGAGAAUACUAAGGCGCUUGAGAGAACUCGGGUGAAGGAACUCGGCAAAAUAGUACCGUAACUUCGGGAGAAGGUACGCCCUUGUUGGUGAUAGAACUUGCUUCUUGAGCUGAUGAGGGCCGCAGUGACCAGGUGGCUGGGACUGUUUAUUAAAAACACAGCACUCUGCAAACUCGAAAGAGGACGUAUAGGGUGUGACACCUGCCCGGUGCCGGAAGGUUAAUUGAUGGGAUUAGCGUAAGCGAAGUUCUUGAUCGAAGCCCCGGUAAACGGCGGCCGUAACUAUAACGGUCCUAAGGUAGCGAAAUUCCUUGUCGGGUAAGUUCCGACCUGCACGAAUGGUGUAACCAUGGCCACGCUGUCUCCACCCGAGACUCAGUGAAAUUGAAAUCGCAGUGAAGAUGCUGUGUACCCGCACCUAGACGGAAAGACCCCGUGAACCUUUACUACAGCUUGGCACUGAACAUUGAACCUACUUGUGUAGGAUAGGUGGGAGGCUUUGAAUCGCAGACGCCAGUUUGCGUGGAGCCGACCUUGAAAUACCACCCUGGUAUGUUUGAUGUUCUAACAUAGGUCCCUUAUCGGGAUUGUGGACAGUGUCUGGUGGGUAGUUUGACUGGGGCGGUCUCCUCCCAAAUAGUAACGGAGGAGCACGAAGGUUAGCUAAUCACGGUCGGACAUCGUGAGGUUAGUGCAAUGGCAUAAGCUAGCUUAACUGCGAGACAGACACGUCGAGCAGGUACGAAAGUAGGUCAUAGUGAUCCGGUGGUUCUGUAUGGAAGGGCCAUCGCUCAACGGAUAAAAGGUACUCCGGGGAUAACAGGCUGAUACCGCCCAAGAGUUCAUAUCGACGGCGGUGUUUGGCACCUCGAUGUCGGCUCAUCACAUCCUGGGGCUGAAGUCGGUCCCAAGGGUAUGGCUGUUCGCCAUUUAAAGUGGUACGCGAGCUGGGUUUAGAACGUCGUGAGACAGUUCGGUCCCUAUCUGGUGUGGGCGUUGGAUGAUUGAGGGGAGCUGCUCCUAGUACGAGAGGACCGGAGUGGACGAACCGCUGGUGUUCGGGUUGUUAUGCCAAUAGCAUUGCCCGGUAGCUACGUUCGGAACGGAUAACCGCUGAAAGCAUCUAAGCGGGAAGCCGAACCCAAGAUGAGUCAUCCCUGACCUUUAAGGUCUGGAAGGGUUGUUGAAGACGACAACGUUGAUAGGCAGGGUGUGGAAGCGUUGUAAGGCGUUAAGCUAACCUGUACUAAUUGCCCGAAAGGCUUAACCAU